CAUAUCACGUUGAAACAUCAGUUCUCGUACGUUCACCGAAGUUAAGCAAUGUCAAGCCUGGUGAGUACCUAGAUGCUUGUCCGCUUGGGAAUAUCAGGUUCUGUAAG